GACGAACCGUGCGAACGUUGUUCGGAAUCACUGGGCUUAAAGGGCGCGUAGGCGGGCCAGCAAGUCCGGGGUGAAAUCUUUCGGCUCAACCGGAAAAGUGCCUUGGAUACUGCUGGUCUGGAGUGAGGUAGGGGCCGGCGGGAACUUCCGGUGGAGCGGUGAAAUGCGUUGAUAUCGGAAGGAACGCCGGUGGCGAAAGCGCGACGGCGUGGCCCUCAACUGACGCUGAGGCGCGAAAAGCCAGGGG
rnacentral:rRNA from 1 species